rnacentral:rRNA from 1 species
ACUCAAAUGAAUUGACGGGGACCCGCACAAGCGGUGGAGCGUGUGGUUUAAUUCGACGCUAAGCGAAGAACCUUACCAAGGCUUGACAUCUCGGGAAUCCCACCGAAAGGCGGGAGUGCCAUUUUGGAAUCCGAUGACAGGUGAUGCAUGGUCGUCGUCAGCUCGUGUUGUGAAAUGUUGGGUUAAGUCCCGCAACGAGCGCAACCCUUAUCGUGUGUUGGAUUUUUCACACGAGACUGCCUCGGUUAACGAGGAGGAAGGUGGGGAUGAAGUCAGAUCAGCAUGUCCCUUAUGCCUUGGGCGACACACGCGCUACAAUGGCCGGUACAAUGGGUCGCGAACCCGCAAGGUGGAGCUAAUCCCAUCAAAACCGGUCUCAGUUCGGAUUGGAGUCUGCAACUCGACUCCAUGAAGCCGGAAUCGCUAGUAAACGCGGAUCAGCCAUGCUGCGUUGAAUACGUUCUCGGGUCUUGUACACACCGCCCGU